GAAGUGGUUGCACAAUCCCACAAUCCUUCAGGGCUCCUUGGCAGCCAAGUGCAGCCACGUGUGGAUUUCAGGGGACAAACAUGUUCCUCUUCCCGCCCUUUCCGGCUGGCCCGGGCUGGAAGGCAGACAAGUGAUGGCUGCCAUCUCUGACCACAAGACGGAGGCCACGUUGGGAGGCUGGAAGAGCAAAUGCUAACUGUGGUGCCCCCAAGGACCAGCCCUGGAUUGCCCACAUUAAGCCUAUGAAGACAGCUGCAUCACAGAUAAAGAACUAGAAGGGGGUCCAGGCACUGUAUAUCCCAUCUCCCUAUAAUACAGAUGAGGAAACUGAGGCCCAGGGAAGGAAAAUGACUGGGCCAAGCCGCAUGGUGUGUUCCUGGUGGUUAUUUGUUGCUGGGCUCUGAACAUCCAACAGAUACACGAACCAUAGUGUUCCAGGCAACGAGGUGGUGACAAAAAGCAACAGAACUCACAACAGUGCGUGGAGACAGACAGUAACCAGACUUACCGUGGAGACAGUUUCGUAAUGUAUAGAAAUAUCGAAUCACUAUAACUUACACCUGAAACUAGGGGGAUAUUAUAUGGCAGUGAUUCUUAAA